CUUUUUCUUCUUCCGAGCUGAAGAUUGCUCUCGCCAGCUGUGCUCCAGGCUCUCCCUCUUAGGGUGUGAUUUAGGGGCUAUUUCCAGUCUAAUGGGAUAAUUUAUAACCCAGUCCCUAAAACCAAGAGGACUGCAGUUCUGUGGCUGAGAAUUGUAGAAUUUCAGAGCUGCGAAUGAAAAUCAGAUCCAACCCAAACAAACCAAGUAAUAACAGCAACAACGAUAAAGCAAGGAGCCAAACACCCCCAGCCACCGUGCGGCAUCUAAACCCCAGCCCCCGCCCCUUGCAGCGGCAGAAUCCGGGAUUUCACGGCUGUGACAGCAGGUAAAUUGUGCCCCACACACCCAGCAGACCUCUGUGCCAAGAUGAGAAUUCUCCACUGCUAGCACCUGCCAGGGCUGACUUCUCUGCAGCCUGUCUCGUCAGCACAGGAGGGGAGAGAGAGCCUUGCUCUCAGGCCCCAGGACUCAGCAUCCGGACCACACUGAGACUCCGGACUCCUCCGCGUCUCCUGCCUGGAUGGCCUUUCCUUCCUUAGUCUUAGCAGGACGCCUGAGUUUUCAUCUGGGUCAGGGUCUCUUUUAAGGUGUGGGUUCAGGACUGAAUACAAUUUAUAAAAAAAGAGGGUGGGGGCAGGGCAUAUCAGCUACUUUUCUCUUUGCUGUUGACAAGAAGCAAUUUAGGGAAAAGGAGUUUAUUGUUGGCUCGUGGGUCAAAAAAUAAAGUUAAAUAACG
rnacentral:lncRNA from 1 species